AACCUGGUGGCGAGUGGCGAACGGGUGAGUAAUGCAUCGGAACGUGCCAUUGAGUGGGGGGUAACGUAGCGAAAGUUACGCUAAUACCGCAUAUUCUGUGAGCAGGAAAGCAGGGGAUCGCAAGACCUUGCGCUCUUUGAGCGGCCGAUGUCAGAUUAGCUAGUUGGUGAGGUAACGGCUUACCAAGGCGACGAUCUGUAGCGGGUCUGAGAGGAUGAUCCGCCACACUGGAACUGAGACACGGUCCAGACUCCUACGGGAGGCAGCAGUGGGGAAUUUUGGACAAUGGGGGCAACCCUGAUCCAGCCAUGCCGCGUGAGUGAAGAAGGCCUUCGGGUUGUAAAGCUCUUUCGGCCGGGAAGAAAUCGCAUGGGUUAAUACCCUGUGUGGAUGACGGUACCGGCAUAAGAAGCACCGGCUAACUACGUG
rnacentral:rRNA from 1 species